AAUCCUGAGUCAUUUUUUUGUAGAGCGGAGCUCAGGCCGAGGUUCUUUGCCAUCUCCUGAGUGGAACUCUAAGAGUAAGAGGUUCUUCUAAGAUGGUUAAAGAUUCAUUGAUGCAGGAUUCGGCAAUUGAAACAUUUUUUUUUUUCUAGUUUGUAUGACCUUAACCUUUUGCCUAUUUGAAUAUUGAUAUAAUGAAAACAACUGCCGUGGACCAAGUACUGUGUCACAUCAUUUCCAGUCUGUGCAGUAGCCCCACCUGGGAACAUUGUCUUUAGUCUCAACUCUUAUCAGCUGUUCUCAUUUUCU
rnacentral:lncRNA from 1 species